rnacentral:rRNA from 1 species
GAUGAACGCUGGCGGCGUGCCUAAUACAUGCAAGUCGAGCGAACGGACGAGACGCUUGCUUCUCUGAUGUUAGCGGCGGACGGGUGAGUCACACGUGUAUAACCUACCUAUAAGACUGGGAUCACUUCGGGAAACCGGAGCUAAUACCGGAUAAUAUUUUGAACCGCAUGGUUCAAUAGUGAAAGACGGUCUUGCUGUCACUUAUAGAUGGAUCCGGGCUGCAUUAGCUAGUUGGUAAGGUAACGGCUUACCAAGGCUACGAUGCAUAGCCGACCUGAGAGGGGGAUAGGCGACACGGGAACUGAGACACGGUCAAGACUCCUAAGGGAGGCAGCAGUAGGGAAUCUUCCGCAAUGGGCGAAAGCCUGACGGAGCAAGGCCGCGUGAGUGAUGAAGGUCUUCGGAUCGUAAAAAUCUGUUAUGAGGGAAGAACAGAUGUGGAAGGAAAUGUGCACAGCGUGACGGUAACGAAUCAGAAAGCAACGGCUAACUACGUG